AGAGUUGAUCAUGGCUCAGGAGAAACGCUGGCGGCGCACAUAAGACAUGCAAGUCGAACGGAACUUAGUCGAAUGUUACAUGAGACGAAAGUUUAGUGGCGGACGGGUGAGUAACACGUGAGCAACCUGCCUUUAAGAGGGGGAUAACAUUGAGAAAUCAGUGCUAAUACCGCAUAAAGCAUCUUUACCGCAUGAUAGAGAUAGCCAAAGGAGAAAUCCGCUUAGAGAUGGGCUCGCGGCUGAUUAGUUAGUUGGUGGGGUAACGGCCUACCAAGACGAUGAUCAGUAGCCGAGCUGAGAGGCACAACGGCCACAUUGGGACUGAGACACGGCCCAGACUCCUACGGGAGGCAGCAGUCGGGAAUAUUGGGCAAUGGGGGGAACCCUGACCCAGCAACGCCGCGUGAGGGAAGAAGGUUUUCGGAUCGUAAACCUCUGUCCUAUGUGAAGAGGAAGAGACGGUAGCAUAGGAGGAAGCCCCGGCUAACUACGUGCCAGCCGCGGC
rnacentral:rRNA from 1 species